UCUAUUAAAGGAGACCAUUCAAAUUUAAAACGAGAUUACUCUUUACAAGAAAGGUGGCUUAUCUCUCCUAGGGAGAGAUGCCUCGCUCUCAUCAGAUACCACCCUGACAGACCCAACAAAGCAGCCUCUCCUAGCAGAGCCUCGCAAGGCGGCUGCUGGUGAACCAAAGACAGUUCCUUGCAGCGGCCAUCUCCCGACCUUCAGGGCUCCUUGGAGCUCCACCAGCUCCGUGGCCCGGCCUAGAAAUGCCUGGGAAUCCCCCGGCACCCGAGGGGUGCCAUGUCGGGCGACUCGGGGGCAGCUCCGCACCCAACCGGGGCUGCGACCCCUCUGCCUGGGGGCACUCCAAGCCGGAACCAGCUUUCACACUCAUCUCCCCGCCAGCUUUCCCGGACCCUCGGAGGGCUCCCUCCGGACCCCCGAGCUUUGCCCCCCGCCUCCCCUCUUCCUCCCUCCGCCAACAGCGGGCUCCUGGCCGCUGCCCCAGGUUCCCUCCGCUGAAGAAGUCGGGAGCUGCCCGGGGCUGGGGCUACGCCCGUCAUGGCGGCGGGGCCGCGGGGCCUGAGGGACGGCGGCUGGAUGGCGGCGGCGCGGCCCCGGCAGGGGGAGCCGGAGACCGCCGGGCUGAGAUGCUUGUUAAUUUUUGAGGAAGGCAAGUACAGCUUCAUUAUGUCAGUUUCGAAGAGUUAGAUACCGAAAACAAUUCAUCACAAUGAAGUGAGGCACUUCAAAUGUCAGAAAGCUUUAAUUUUAAUCACCUGCUCUCGGAGUCGACCCUGAAGCCUGGAUCAGCUCCUGCUUGUGCUCCCAGAGUGAGGCGUAGGAAGAGCUAGCUGUGGCACAGCGACUGCCAGGACGCUGGGAUGGGCACAGGACGGGCCUGCCUGGGAGAAAACACCGAGCAGAAAGAAAAGUCCUGUAUCAUAAUGGUAUGGAUGCUAGCAGCCAGAAUUGUGGUUGAGGAAUAAUUUGGCAGGCUACUAUUGGGAGGGACAGGGGAAAACUCCAGGAAUAAGCAACCAGAAGUUUCUUGAAUCAAGUGUGUCAAAUCUCCACCAACACUUAUCACCUUUAGGACAGCCAUGGAGUGUGGGAAGGAUGGGUCUGGUUGCCAAAGCUCUGGGCACCACUCCCCUUUUAAAGCAAGAGAGUGGGAUUUGAAAGCCUGUGAGAGCAGAUGGAGUGGCGGUGCUCUUCCACCACUCUUUAUUUCUUGGAAAUUUCUGCAAUUUCUUUGGGUGCAGAGCUGGCUGGUGCUCAUUCGCUCCACAUGGGAUCCUCACAAGGGGAGUAACCUACCAUAAAGGUAUUGGAAAGCUUCACACACGCACCUUUUCCUUGAGCUGCAUAUCUGGAAGAAGUUUGAGCUGUUAUGAAGGCAUUGAAGGAGGAAUAUCCUACACAGAAGGAGGGAGCAAAAUGUGGGGUUCAGUGGUUUUCGUUACAAGGUGUGCUGUAUUUCAAAAAUGACAAAAAAAGGAAGCAAGGGGCCGGUGGACUUGGGUGAGAUCAACUCUGAUCUAGUCACUGGUGCUGAGGAACCAAGAGAGCAGUUGGGUUGACACAAACUAAAAAUGAGUGAAGCUGCAUGUCAUGCCCGUUGACCUUCGCCCCCAAAGGAUGCCCUAAACCAGUGCAAAUCAGAGACUCUUUUAGAUCCUCUUCCCUCCCCACACCGUACUGUUCUUCCAUGCCUCCUGGGAAACCCUGCUGUCUGCUGUUGAUGUUUCACUGAUGCGUCCUCAGCCUCCUCCACCUUGUCCAGCUCUGACAGCUGAUGCUCUUCCAGGCAGGGAGCGGAUCUCUCCUCUGUUUCAAGACCUGCUUACAAGCAAGAUGUUUCUACAGCUGGGUCGGGAACAGGGAAGCAGUGGUUCAGAUCUUUCUGAAAACUGGAGGAACUAUCACAGUGCCCUUCAAUACAGUAAGAAAUGUGGUUCACUAGUUGGUGUUGUAAGUGGGCAGAACGCCUGCUUCGGCUUUCUUAGGCUUAGUAUAGCAGGUGGUGUGAGCCAGCCCCAGGGUGCAGUCUCAGGCCUGGACUGUCUCACACAGUCCUGUCAGAGGGUCAUGCUCAGACAGAUUUCUGACCAGGACCUGCUGCAGGCUUGCUUGAGGAUUCGACUUUCUUCUGCUGAAUACUCCAGCCCGUUUCCACACGGUCUUCACCAGCCAGGUUCAAGUCUUCCUUGCCAUGUACAUAAGAAACUGGAGCGGUAGCUUAAGACUGGGAGCUGCCUGCUGAAGACUGCUUGGCUUCAGUCAGUACAAAGUCUUGCAAAAUACAGUACAAAGCCUUAUCUGGGGCCUGCAAUUUCUCUCUCCAGCAGGUAAUAAAGAGGAUGGGUGACUGCUUCAAGGGAGUGCUGGAAAAACAUUUUGCUUGAUAUAUUGUUUUCUUAACCCUUCUCUCCACUUCCUUGUUUUAUCUACUCUCCAGGCUUUUUUUUUUUCAUCUUACACACAGGCUGGUCCUGAGAACUAGGGGUUGUCUGCCAGGGUGACAAGUUCAGUUCCUUCCCAAGGAACUCUCGUGAGCCUCGCUGUCUCUGUGGGGAUCACUCAAGCAGGAAAGAGUGAGGAGAAAUACUGGUGAGAAGGUUUGAAGAAGAGGAGAGACUUGCAGUGACAAGGAUGCUUUUGCUUCGACACAAACAAUUAUUAUCUCUUCCUGCUCGUUUCGUUUCUUAAUAAACAUCCUGCUCCCUGAA